GGGAUAAUACCGGAUAACGCAUAUCUGCUGGAAUGCUUUAUGCGUAAAAUGGAUUUGUCUGCCCAAGGAUGGGUCUGCGGCCUAUCAGGUAGUAGUGGGUGUAAUGUACCUACUAGCCUACGACGGGUACGGGUUGUGAGAGCAAGAGCCCGGAGAUGGAUUCUGAGACAUGAAUCCAGGCCCUACGGGGCGCAGCAGGCGCGAAAACUUUACAAUGCGGGAAACCGUGAUAAGGGGACACCGAGUGCCAGCAUCAUAUGUUGGCUGUCCAGAUGUGUAAAAUACAUCUGUUAGCAAGGGCCGGGCAAGACCGGUGCCAGCCGCCGCGGUAACACCGGCGGCCCGAGUGGUGAUCGUGAUUAUUGGGUCUAAAGGGUCCGUAGCCGGUUUGGUCAGUCCUCCGGGAAAUCUGACGGCUCAACCGUUAGGCUUUCGGUGGAUACUGCCAGACUUGGAACCGGGAGAGGUAAGAGGUACUACAGGGGUAGGAGUGAAAUCUUGUAAUCCCUGUGAGACCACCUGUGGCGAAGGCGUCUUACCAGAACGGGUUCGACGGUGAGGGACGAAAGCUGGGGGCACGAACCGGAUUAGAUACCCGGGUAGUCCCAGCCGUAAACGAUGCUCGCUAGGUGUCAGGCAUGGCGCGACCGUGUCUGGUGCCGCAGGGAAGCCGUGAAGCGAGCCACCUGGGAAGUACGGCCGCAAGGCUGAAACUUAAAGGAAUUGGCGGGGGAGCAAAUCCCGCGGCCA
rnacentral:rRNA from 1 species